rnacentral:rRNA from 1 species
CUCCGUGUCGUGAGAUGUUGGGUUAAGUCCCGCAACGAGCGCAACCCUUAUCCCUAGUUGCCAUCAGGUAAAGCUGGGAACUCUGGGGAGACUGCCGGUGAUAACCGGAGAAGGCGGGGAUGACGUCAAGUCCUCAUGGCCCUUACAUCCCGGGCUACACACGUGCUACAAUGGCAGGUACAGAGGGCUGCGAAGCCGCGAGGUGGAGCGAAUCCCAGAAAACCUGUCUCAGUCCGGAUUGAAGUCUGCAACUCGACUUCAUGAAGGCGGAAUCGCUAGUAACCGCGAAUCAGCAGGUCGCGGUGAAUACGUUCCCGGGCCUU